rnacentral:rRNA from 1 species
AUUGAACGCUAACGGCGUGCUUAACACAUGCAAGUCGAGCGGCAGCAUGACUGUAGCAAUACAGUUGAUGGCGAGCGGCGGACGGGUGAGUAAUGCAUAGGAAUCUGCCUUGUAGUGGGGGAUAACCCGGGGAAACUCGGGCUAAUACCGCAUAAUCUCUACGGAGCAAAGUGGGGGAUCGUAAGACCUCACGCUAAAAGAUGAGCCUAUGUUGGAUUAGCUAGUUGGUGAGGUAAUGGCUCACCAAGGCGACGAUCCAUAGCUGGUCUGAGAGGAUGAUCAGCCACACUGGGACUGAGACACGGCCCAGACUCCUACGGGAGGCAGCAGUGGGGAAUAUUGGACAAUGGGCGAAAGCCUGAUCCAGCAACGCCGUGUGUGUGAAGAAGGCCUUCGGGUUGUAAAGCACUUUUAGUUGGGAAGAAAAGCUCAUGGGUAAUAUCCAUGAGUGCUGACGUUACCAACAGAAAAAGCACUGGCUAACUCUGUGCCAGCCGCCGCGGUAA